UUAAGUGAAUAAGGGCGCACGGUGGAUGCCUUGGCACUAGGAGCCGAUGAAGGACGGGACUAACACCGAUAUGCUUUGGGGAGCUGUACGUAAGCUAUGAUCCAGAGAUUUCCGAAUGGGGGAACCCAGCAUCUUUUAUAGGAUGUUACGUAUACGUGAAUACAUAGCGUAUACGAGGUAGACGCAGAGAACUGAAACAUCUAAGUACCUGCAGGAAGAGAAAGAAAAUUCGAUUCCCUGAGUAGCGGCGAGCGAAACGGGAAAAGCCCAAACCAAUGAGCUUGCUCAUUGGGGUUGUAGGACUCCGAUAUGGUAGUUCUUUCAGAUAGUCGAAUGACUUGGAAAAGUCAGUCAAAGAGGGUGAAAGCCCCGUAGAUGAAAUUUGGAAGGCACCUAGGAGGAUCCUGAGUACGGCGGAACACGAGGAAUUCCGUCGGAAUCCGGGAGGACCAUCUCCCAAGGCUAAAUACUCCCUAGUGACCGAUAGUGAACCAGUACCGUGAGGGAAAGGUGAAAAGCACCCCGGAAGGGGAGUGAAAUAGAACCUGAAACCGUGUGCCUACAACAAGUCAAAGCCCGUUAAUGGGUGAUGGCGUGCCUUUUGUAGAAUGAACCGGCGAGUUACGAUUGCAUGCGAGGUUAAGUUGAAGAGACGGAGCCGUAGCGAAAGCGAGUCUGAAUAGGGCGUUUGAGUAUGUAGUCGUAGACCCGAAACCAUGUGAUCUACCCAUGUCCAGGUUGAAGGUGCGGUAAAACGCACUGGAGGACCGAACCCACGUACGUUGAAAAGUGCGGGGAUGAGGUGUGGGUAGCGGAGAAAUUCCAAACGAACUUGGAGAUAGCUGGUUCUCUCCGAAAUAGCUUUAGGGCUAGCCUCGGAAUUGAGAAUGAUGGAGGUAGAGCACUGUUUGGACUAGGGGCCCAUCUCGGGUUACCGAAUUCAGAUAAACUCCGAAUGCCAUUCAUUCAUAUCCGGGAGUCAGACUGUGAGUGAUAAGAUCCAUAGUCGAAAGGGAAACAGCCCAGACCACCAGCUAAGGUCCCAAAAUAUAUGUUAAGUGGAAAAGGAUGUGGGGUUGCACAGACAACUAGGAUGUUGGCUUAGAAGCAGCCACCAUUUAAAGAGUGCGUAAUAGCUCACUAGUCGAGUGACCCUGCGCCGAAAAUGUACCGGGGCUAAACAUAUUACCGAAGCUGUGGAGUACACCUUUAGGUGUAUUGGUAGGAGAGCGUUCUAAGGGCGUUGAAGGUAGAUCGUGAGGACUGCUGGAGCGCUUAGAAGUGAGAAUGCCGGUAUGAGUAGCGAAAGACAGGUGAGAAUCCUGUCCACCGAAUGACUAAGGUUUCCUGGGGAAGGCUCGUCCGCCCAGGGUUAGUCGGGACCUAAGCCGAGGCCGACAGGCGUAGGCGAUGGACAACAGGUUGAUAUUCCUGUACUCGUUGUUUUUGUUUGAGCAAUGGAGGGACGCAGGAGGCUAAGGAAUGCAGACGAUCGGAAAUGUCUGUCCAAGCAGUAAGUCUUGAUAGGAGUCAAAUGCUUCUAACUUUAAGGACAAGCUGUGAUGGGGAGGGAAAUAAUAGUACCGAAGUUCCUGACGUCACACUGCCGAGAAAAGCUUCUAGUGAGAAAAUAACGACCCGUACCGCAAACCGACACAGGUAGUCGAGGAGAGAAUCCUAAGGUGAGCGAGAGAACUCUCGUUAAGGAACUCGGCAAAAUGACCCCGUAACUUCGGGAGAAGGGGUGCUGAUCGUCAGAUCAGCCGCAGUGAAUAGGCCCAAGCGACUGUUUAUCAAAAACACAGGUCUCUGCAAAAUCGUAAGAUGAAGUAUAGGGGCUGACGCCUGCCCGGUGCUGGAAGGUUAAGAGGAGUGCUUAGCGUAAGCGAAGGUACGAAUUGAAGCCCCAGUAAACGGCGGCCGUAACUAUAACGGUCCUAAGGUAGCGAAAUUCCUUGUCGGGUAAGUUCCGACCCGCACGAAAGGCGUAACGAUUUGGGCACUGUCUCAACGAGAGACUCGGUGAAAUUUUAGUACCUGUGAAGAUGCAGGUUACCCGCGACAGGACGGAAAGACCCCAUGGAGCUUUACUGUAGUUUGAUAUUGAGUGUCUGUACCGCAUGUACAGGAUAGGUAGGAGCCGUAGAAGUCGGAACGCUAGUUUCGAUGGAGGCGCUGGUGGGAUACUACCCCUGCGUUAUGGCCACUC
rnacentral:rRNA from 1 species